GCCGCGGUAGCUCAGUGGUAGAGCACUGGUCUGAAAAACCAGGCGUCGAUGGUUCGAUCCCAUCCCGCGGCA
rnacentral:tRNA from 1 species